GGUUUCAUAGUGUAGUGGUUAUCACGUCUUUUUACACGCAGAAGGUCCUGGGCUCGAUCCCCAGUGAAACCA
rnacentral:tRNA from 1 species